AGAGUUUGAUCCUGGCUCAGGAUGAACGCUAGCUACAGGCUUAACACAUGCAAGUCGAGGGGAAACGACAUCGAAAGCUUGCUUUUGAUGGGCGUCGACCGGCGCACGGGUGAGUAACGCGUAUCCAACCUGCCCACCACUUGGGGAUAACCUUGCGAAAGUAAGACUAAUACCCAAUGACGUCUCUAGAAGACAUCUGAAAGGGAUUAAAGAUUUGUCGGUGAUGGAUGGGGAUGCGUCUGAUUAGCUUGGUUGGCGGGGUAACGGCCACCAAGGCUACGAUCAGUAGGGGUUCUGGAGAGGAAGGUCCCCCANAUUGGAACUGAGACACGGUACCAAACUCCUACGGGAGCA
rnacentral:rRNA from 1 species